CUCACCGAGCAGGGCAUCGUGCCCGGGAUCAAGGUCGACAAGGGCCUCGUCCCGCUCGCCGGCUCCAACGACGAGUCCUGGUGCCAGGGCCUCGACGGCCUCGCCGCCCGCGAGGCCGCCUACUACCAGCAGGGCGCCCGAUUCGCCAAGUGGCGCACCGUCGUCAGCAUCCCCAACGGGCCAUCCGAGCUCGCCGUCAAGGAGGCCGCAUGGGGGCUCGCCCGCUACGCCGCCAUCUCGCAGGUACGCCUUCUUGCUUGCUUCUAGCCAUGGAGAUAGUUCAUCCAGCUAAUUAAUAAAAGCUAACACCGAUGGAAUGGAAUCGACCGAGCAGGACAACGGACUUGUGCCGAUCGUAGAGCCGGAGAUCCUGCUGGACGGCGAGCACGGCAUCGAGCGGACCUUCGAGGUGGCGCAGAAGGUGUGGGCCGAGACCUUCUACGCCAUGGCGGAGAACAACGUCAUGUUCGAGGGCAUCCUGCUCAAGCCAUCCAUGGUGACGCCGGGCGCCGAGGCUAAGGACCGGGCCACGCCGGAGCAGGUCGCCGAGUACACCCUGAAGCUCCUCCACCGCCGCAUCCCGCCCUCCGUCCCCGGCAUCAUGUUCCUCUCCGGCGGGCAGUCGGAGGUGGAGGCGACGCAGAACCUCAACGCCAUGAACCAGGGGCCCAACCCGUGGCACGUGUCCUUCUCCUACGCGCGGGCGCUGCAGAACACCUGCCUCAAGACGUGGGGCGGCGUGCCGGAGAACGUCAAGGCGGCGCAGGACGCGCUGCUGCUGCGCGCCAAGGCCAACUCGCUGGCGCAGCUCGGCAAGUACACCUCCGACGGCGAGGCCGCCGAGGCCAAGGAGGGCAUGUUCGUCAAGAACUACAGCUACUAAUUCAUCGGCUAGCAACUCCGACGAUACAUACUGGUUACGCAAGCUAAGCACGUCUUCGCCGUGAUGAUCCAUGCAUGGUGCUCAUCGAUGCUUUGUGCGUGCCGUUAGUUACUACUGCUAGCUACU
rnacentral:lncRNA from 1 species